UCGAACGAGGACCCUUGUACUUGUACAGGGAUCUCCUAGUGGCGAACGGGUGAGUAACGCGUUGGUGACCUGCCCCGAAGAGAGGGACAACAGUUCGAAAGGACUGCUAAUACCUCAUGUGAUCGCAAGGGUUAAAGGCCUUGCGAUGAAAGGAGCAAUCCGCUUCGGGAGGGGCCUGCGUCCCAUCAGCUUGUUGGUAGGGUAAUGGCCUACCAAGGCUCAGACGGGUAGGGGACCUGAGAGGGUGACCCCCCACACUGGAACUGAAACACGGUCCAGACACCUACGGGUGGCAGCAGUAGGGAAUAUUGCGCAAUGGGCGAAAGCCUGACGCAGCAACGCCGCGUGCACGAUGAAGGUCUUCGGAUUGUAAAGUGCUUUUAUGAGGGAAGAGAAAGGACUGUACCUCAUGAAUAAGGAUCGGCUAACUACGUGCCAGCAGCCGCGGUAACACGUAGGAUCCGAGCGUUAUCCGUAUUUACUGGGCGUAAAGCGCGUGCAGGUGGUUCGGUAAGUUGGAUGUUAAAUCUCCCGGCUCAACUGGGAGCUGUCGUUCAAAACUGCCAGACUAGAGGACGGUAGAGGGAGGUGGAAUUCCG
rnacentral:rRNA from 1 species